GAAAGUAAGCAAGGGCAGACGGUGGAUGCCUUGGCUCUCGGAGGCGACGAAGGACGUGAUAAGCUGCGAAAAGCCCGGGGGAGGCGCAAAUAGCCCUUGAUCCCGGGAUAUCCGAAUGGGGCAACCCGGCAGGCUGAAGGCCUGCCAUCCCGUAAGGGAGGCGAACGUGGGGAACUGAAACAUCUAAGUACCCAUAGGAGGAGAAAAUAAACAAUGAUUCCGUAAGUAGUGGCGAGCGAACACGGAAGAGCCCAAACCCAUGUCGUCUAGGCGACACGGGGGUUGUAGGACCACGACGUGGCAAGAUAGAGUCAAGUGGAACGCCUUGGAAAAGGCGGUCAUAGAGGGUGAAAACCCCGUACACGACUGACGAUUGAAGCCUAGUGGCAUCCUGAGUAGCGCGGGGCACGAGAAAUCUUGCGUGAAACUGCGGGGCCCAUCCCGUAAGGCUAAAUACUCCCGAGAGACCGAUAGCGAACCAGUACCGUGAGGGAAAGGUGAAAAGAACCCCGAGCAGGGGAGUGAAAUAGACCCUGAACCCGUCUGCCUACAAGCGGUCGGAGCGUUGUUAUGACGUGACGGCGUGCCUUUUGCAUAAUGAACCUACGAGUUACCUUCCCCGGCAAGGUUAAGUACCUAAGGUACGGAGCCGAAGCGAAAGCGAGUCUGAAGAGGGCGGCCAGUCGGGGGGGGUAGACGCGAAACCGAGUGAUCUACCCUUGGCCAGGUUGAAGGUUGGGUAACACCAACUGGAGGACCGGAUGGGUAAGCGUUGAAAAGCUUUCCAAUGAGCUGAGGGUAGGGGUGAAAGGCUAAUCAAACUCGGAGAUAGCUCGUACUCCCCGAAAUGCAUUUAGGUGCAGCCUCUUUAUAGUAUAUCGUGAGGUAGAGCGACUGAUUGGAUGCGAGGGCUUCACCGCCUAUCAAGUCCAGAUAAACUCCGAAUGCGCGAUAUAUAUUUAAAGGGAGUGAGGGCGCGGGUGCUAAGGUCCGUGUCCGAGAGGAGAAGAAUCCAGACCACCGGCUAAGGCCCCCAAAUGAUCGUUGAGUUGAACUAACGAGGUCGGAUCGCAGAGACAGCUAGGAUGUUGGCUUGGAAGCAGCCAUUCAUUUAAAGAGUGCGUAACAGCUCACUAGUCGAGCGAUCUGGCGUGGAUAAUAAUCGGGCAUAAACGAUCUGCCGAAGCCGUGGAUGUCGCAAGACAUGGUAGGGGAGCAUUCCAUGCCGCGUCGAAGAUGAGGGAUGACCCUUGUUGGAGCGCAUGGAAAAGCAAAUGUAGGUAUGAGUAACGAUAAGGGGGGCGAGAAACCCCCCCGCCGAAAGACCAAGGUUUCCUGAUCAACGCUAAUCGGAUCAGGGUGAGUCGGGACCUAAGGCAAAGCCGAACGGCGCCGCCGAUGGAAGAAUGGGUUAAUAUUCCCAUACUGCCUCAUGGAGUGACGUGGAGACGGAGAAGUGACAGUCCUGCCGGCUGACGGAAUAGCCGGUUGAAGGGUGUAGAUAUUGAUUCCCGUAGGCAAAUCCGCGGGGAGAGUCGAACCUGACAGUAUACCGAGUACUUGUACGAGGUAAUAUGGACGUAACCAUGCUCCCAAGAAAAUCCGCUAAACUUAUCCAUGCGGCACCCGUACCGUAAACGGACACACGUGGUCGGGUUGAGAAUACUGAGGCGCUCGAGUGACUCACGGUUAAGGAACUAGGCAAAUUGACCCUGUAACUUCGGGAUAAAGGGUCCUCGUCGUAAGGCGAGGCGCAGAGAAUAGGUCCAGGCAACUGUUUAACAAAAACACAUGGCUGUGCUAAAUGGAAACAUGACGUAUACAGCCUGACACCUGCCCGGUGCUGGAAGGUUAAGAGGAGAUGUCAUCGCAAGAGAAGCGUUGAAUUGAAGCCCCAGUAAACGGCGGCCGUAACUAUAACGGUCCUAAGGUAGCGAAAUUCCUUGUC
rnacentral:rRNA from 1 species